ACCAAAAUAGUAAGAAAAACAAUAAAGUUCAGAAACAAAGGCAAUAAGCACAAAAAGGUGAAUAGAAAGCGGUCUGGAUGAAGGAGGUGUAGUACCAUGUGAUGGGGAGGGAGGAAACCUGCACGUCAUGGGUAUUGAUAUCUCCUGCAUAGCACAUAAAAACCCCUAGCAGAGUCAGUCAGCCUUCUAAACCGUAAGGAACACAACAGCUGCAAUAGGAGCGAGACUAAGAGUACUAUUGUAAGAAAUUGAAAUCAGGGGCACAACAAGAACUGUGGACAAGAUGAAACAGAUCACAAUUCUCUGUCUAGGAAUUGUCCUUUUGGCUUUACUCCUACCCAGCCAGGUCCACAGCCAGUCUACUCCAAAAUACAAUACUACCGGUACAACUCUGGCAGGGAAAAAUGUGUCAUCCUCUUCAAACUCUAGUGGAGCAUCACUCGUCACAACCUCCACGAACAUUACAACAACGCAUGGGAGUGCAGGUUCCCUGUACUCAUCCUCUGCUCUCAUCCUGCUCAUUGCCUCCGUCUUGGUUUUAAAUGUUUGCUGUUAAUAGAUGAUGUAAAUGCAAUGUAAAUUCAACUAUAGCACUCUCUCACCCCUCUGCCCUCUUGUCUUCUCAUAAUCAAGCACACCGUGGAAUGGCACAUGUAAUCCUAACCAAGUAUAAUGUACAGCCCGUCUGACUGAGAGGCUUGUCUUCACUUACUCAGGCUUCCCCCACUCCGAAUGAGCAUUGUGCCGACACAGGGAACUGAAAACCUUGAGCGUCUACAAAGAAUCUCCAAAAACGUCCAAAAGUUAUGAAUGAAUUGAUAUUCCACAAAGAACUCCAGCCAACAAGACAUACAGUUGUGGCAUGUUUGAAACCUCUUGCUGGGAUAAAAAUCACCUAUGAAACUGGAAGGACUUGCAGACCGCAUUGUACAUAUUUCUGAAUAGUAGCAGAUAAAUUCGACUCUAUUACGUACCAUUUGUCAUUUUACUGAAUGAAAAUAUGUGGUAAAUGCUACUUAGAUUAUUUUUUUACAGUGGAAUAUUCCACCUGCAGGUAUGUCAAUGACUGCUACAUAAUCUGUACCUAUAUGAAGCCUCAUGGAAACUUCCGCUGAGAUGGAAGGGCGAGCUCCUCGACAUGAAAGGAGUCAUUGUACUAGUAUUAUGGACAAAAACUGCAUUGUCCUUUUCGACUUAUCAUCGCCUCAAUCUGGAGUCAUAGCCAUGCCAGCUAGUCUUUCCACAAGUAUGUCUUGUCAGUUCUGAUUUGAAUCACUUAUUUUUACCAGAGCACCACUAAAUAAGGUCCCAUAAAUGGGACUAUAAAUCUAAUUUUACAAGGGGGUUUCAAGGGUUUACCAAGAUGAGGGUGCAAUAUUUGCAACGAAAUACUGAAAGUUUUUGAGGUCACCUCACACAGUAACAUCAGUACCACAUAAAAAAAUGUAAAAUCUCCUUUUGCAAUGCAAUGAUUUGACUGAGCCAUCUUACAGUAUGUGUACCCUCAGUUUUUUCCAUGUAAAGGGGUUAUGCCAUCUCUGAUGUAAAAAAUGAAAAUCAGCCCUGUACCUUACAUGGACCCAGAGACUUCCCCAUUUAUUGCUCCAAUUUCUCUGCUGUAUUCUCUUCAGGCAGGCAUGCCCUGUUCAGGCGUGUGUCCUUUCUGCUUCAGCUAUCGUUAUUACAGCUUGGGGUGUUUCCUUUCUGCUGCAGCUCUCUAUCAUAUCUCAAGAGGCAUGUCCUUUCUCAGGGGGCAUAGUCUUUCAGCUGCAGCUAUCUCCCUAUCACAGCUCGGGAAGGGGGGGGGUGUCCUUUCUUUUGAAGCUCUCUCCCUGUAACGGUCGCAACUUCUAAUUCUAGAUACGGCGGGUGGCAGUUGAAGGAACUGAGCAUGUGCGACCACCUCAGUAGGUGCACAUGCACUUUACUACAGAGAUUAAAUACCAGGGGGCACCAUUAUAAAGAAGUAAAGAGAAUAUCGGCAACUGGAGUAUUUUUGUAACAGAAAGUAAAUUACAAAAGUAAAUAGUAUACUAAAAUAACAUUUAAUGGUGACUUAUUCUCAUUGAAGUAGAUACAAUACAUCAAUAACAAUGGAAAUUGUGUCCUUUCCUUUAACUUUGGUCAUGUAGUGCAGGUCAGGAUAGAUAUGUAAUGUCAUCUAUGCAGUGGGUUGGUAUGAGUUACCACUGAGAUGUUCUUUUUUGCUCCAUAGACCUAAAAUUGUAGUUUCUCAUUGAGAAAAAAUUCCUGAAUUGAAACACGGAAUUUGUGAGUUUGCACCAACUUUAAUUCUCUUUUUUUAGGUGUACCAUAUAGAACACUGCUUGUGAAGUUAUAUUGCUUAUUAACUUUUGUUGCAGAGAGAACUAAAUAUCACAAACACUUUUCUUUAAAAUUAUAGGAAAAAUAUGAUGUCUCCUACGUAAAAUAGAAUGUGUGAGGUUUCCCAACAUAUAGUAUAUGCAGUAGUUUUCUUUACAAUAUUAAAACAUUAAAGGGACUCUCCGAACAAAACUGACGUUUUAUGAAGCGCCUGAGAGAGCGGGACAUGACACAAGCAUUCUGUGGUCUUUUUUUAAUCCAAAUUUUAUGCAUUGCCCCUUGGACCAUGUAUUAGACAUAACACAGUGUAUAUGUUAUGCUCAGAGCAUUCCUUUAAUGAUUUUUAUGUUCUCACAUAUGUUUUGCAAAUUUAUAAUUCUUAAAUUUACUAAAAUCGCUUAGAUAGCUGUAAACCAAAUUUAUAUGGAAACCUUUCUUUUGCAAUGUUUAUGUGGGGGAAAUUAUAUUUUCAAGUGUCAUUAACCUGUAGUCAUUGACUGUGCUGUGAUACAACUUAUUGUUGUUGGAUAUGACCGGUACAGAGUCAUGAUAUACUUGUUACCCAGAAUACCAGCUAAAUCCACUGGUUGAAUGCCAUUCUUUAUAUUAGCAUCAACAUAGGAAUAUAUAUUUUAGGACUCAAUUGACUGGGAAAUCUCUGGGUAUGAUGUUCUGUUAACUGUCUUACUAUAUGUGCCAGGAUAUAUAUUGACCUCUACAAUAGUGACUUAUCAUUUUGUAAGUUUAAUUUAAUCAAAUUAAAUAAAAUCAAAUAAUGAAA